UGACCUUCCUUGUUUCUCAGCUAUAAAAACAUCACAUCAGGCUGUCAGUGGAGUUCACAGCACGUCAGUUUCAACAUAAACCAUGUUCUCUGGAGCUCUGCUGCUGCUGUUGGCAGCUGGAUGUGUGAAGUGUGAACAGUUGACCCAGCCAGCCUCUGUGACUGUGCAGCCAGGUCAACAUCUGACCAUCACCUGUCAGGUCUCUUAUUCUCUCAGCAGCUACUACACAGCUUGGAUCAGACAGCCUGCAGGGAAAGGACUGGAGUGGAUUAGUAGAGAUACAAACGUUAAAGACUCACUGAAGAACAAGUUCAGUGUAAACUUGGACUCUUCCAGUAACACAGUGACUCUAAAUGGACAGAAUGUGCAGCCUGAAGACACUGCUGUGUAUUACUGUGCCAGAGAGCCACAGUAACACAAACCAUCAGUAGACCUGAACAAAAACCCCUCAG